AAGUGACCCAGAUCCUCCAUCCAAAGGCAGGCGGGUCUCGAGGAGAACUUACCAACAUAUCAAAGAGCUCCAGGCCAGGACUUUUCCUUUCCACUUUCCCUGCAGCUGCUGCCAUUCCUCUCAAGAAACAUGAAAAUAAGGCAGGCACAAGCCCUGGGACACAGGAGCUUUUCAAGGACCAAGUGUGGCACGGGUGGGCCACCAAAGACAGAAGAAUAAGCUCUUUCAGGAGAAGACAGAAGAACAAGCUGGUUUGUGUGUGCAAGAGAGAAACCAUGUGUGUUUUGCUUUUCAGAUCCUCGAGCAAAUAAAUAAGGCAAGAACUUCACAGGGACAGGGAAGGUGGUGGAGGUGAUGGUGCCAUUCCUGUUGGAGACCUGGCAUUCCCCACCUCUGCUAAACGAGGGUCAGGGAGGCCAUCUGCCUCGUUAACUUCUGCUGCUCAGGAGAUACCACCAAAGCCACGAGUGGAGGGCUCAGCCCAAAUAUCCAAGAUUUCCACGUCCCAUGAGGAUCCUGGUUGGUGGAGCCACUUGUUGUAGGAGGACCUUCCCCCAGGAGAGGACUUCCCCAAGACCCCUGGGGUUCGGGAAGGUCAGUGGCUGUGAGCUGAUGGCACCCUGUGAGCUACCAGCACCUGCAGCACCAACACCUUCCCCUCGGUGGCUUUUGCAAGAGAAGACCAGUUUGGCUGGCAAAGGCUGGGACCACCUCGGAGGGAUGACCACACUGCCUCCCUUGUCUUCACGGGCCACCAUCCCCGGGGCAGGACCCACCCCAGUGUGGUACCACCGGCUUGCCCCAGGCUGGGGAUGGCCAUUGUGGUCCAGACAAUGGUCCACCCCCCAACCAUGAAUGGAAAAUGCUCUCCUGUGUUGGGCUGACAACAGGCUCCCUGUUCUCCUGGGAGUUCCCCACAAAACCUGCUUAUAAGAGCGCAGCAAGGAAAGAUAGAGAAGGGAAGGCCCUCUGAUAAACCCACGCUACUGGAGGAUGCUCACACAAGACCUGAAACCAUCUCAUGGUGGCAAGGCCAUAAAUUCACCCUGAAUGUGUAGGACACGAUGCUGGUAUGAGGGAGGAAUGGGCAGAAAUGCUGUGAAAUGGGCUCAGGAGCUGCAAAACACCCAGAGACCUCCUCCUCUUGAAGGCACAUCCCCGGGGGCUUGGCCCCAGA